UACGAAGGGGGCUAGCGUUGCUCGGAAUCACUGGGCGUAAAGCGCACGUAGGCGGAUCUUUAAGUCAGGGGUGAAAUCCUGGAGCUCAACUCCAGAACUGCCUUUGAUACUGGGGAUCUCGAGUCCGGGAGAGGUGAGUGGAACUCCGAGUGUAGAGGUGAAAUUCGUAGAUAUUCGAAGAACACCAGUGGCGAAGGCGGCUCACUGGCCCGGUACUGACGCUGAGGUGCGAAAGCGUGGGGAGCAAACAGG
rnacentral:rRNA from 1 species